GGGGGCGACUGGUUUCGACAUAUUGGUUUUGACAAGGGAAGCAGGUCGUGGUCUCCUCGCCACGUUAAACAGGGGUACCGUCAAAGUAAUUGACAACAGGCAAUAUGCCCUCGCAGCCUGAUAGUGCUGCGACGUCAACUCAGUGGAGUUCCCCGACACUGACGCGACGACACUCAGGGGAAUGCUCUGCACCACGUAGUUGGUAUGGGUACAGAAAAGAUUGAACCAGCUGGAAGGCGGAAGGCCUGUUCGUGAGCCCGCCGCUGUUUGAGACUUAAUCAGGAACUGAGCCUGGAGAUGCCUUUUGAAGAGCCGAUAUGGACCGGAGUUCGAUUCUCCGCGCCUCCACCA
rnacentral:tmRNA from 1 species